AAAUUGAAGAGUUUGAUCAUGGCUCAGAUUGAACGCUGGCGGCAGGCCUAACACAUGCAAGUCGAACGGUAGCACAGAGAGCUUGCUCUCGGGUGACGAGUGGCGGACGGGUGAGUAAUGUCUGGGAAACUGCCUGAUGGAGGGGGAUAACUACUGGAAACGGUGGCUAAUACCGCAUAACGUCGCAAGACCAAAGAGGGGGACCUUCGGGCCUCUUGCCAUCAGAUGUGCCCAGAUGGGAUUAGCUUGUUGGUGAGGUAACGGCUCACCAAGGCGACGAUCCCUAGCUGG
rnacentral:rRNA from 1 species